GGAAGGAGAAGAGUAAGAGCCAAGUGAAGGGGAAACCCCAUUAUAAAACCAUCAGAUCUCAUGAGAACUCACUCACUAUCAUGAGAACAAUAUGGGGGAAACU